CCCAACUAUCCCUAUUAAUCAUUACAGUGAUCCUAGAAACCAACAAAAUAGAAUCAUCCGUCCUAUUUUAUUAUUCCAUGCUAAUGUAUUCAAGCAAAUAAUGCCUGCUUUAAACACUCUAAUUUUUUCAAAGUAAAAGUCCUAGUUCAUUGAAACACCCAGUUAAAGAGGCAUCACAAUUCACCAGAAGGUGAGGAAUUGGCUACGCCAGUUCAUACCCCUUAAGGCACGACCGAUGUGUCAAUCCCGAAAUUCAACUACGAGCUUUUUAACCGCAGCAACCUUAAUAUACGCUAUUGGAGCUGGAAUUACCGCGGCUGCUAAUACCAGACUUGCCCUCCAA
rnacentral:misc_RNA from 2 species